UGGGGAAUUUUGGACAAUGGGCGAAAGCCUGACCCAGCCAUGCCGCGUGAGUGAUGACGGCCCUAGGGUUGUAAAGCUCUUUUAACAGGGACGAUAAUGACGGUACCUGUAGAAUAAUCCCCGGCUAACUUCGUGCCAGCAGCCGCGGUAAUACGGAGGGGGCAAGCGUUGUUCGGAAUUACUGGGCGUAAAGCGUACGUAGGCGGAUUUUUAAGUCAGGGGUGAAAUCCCGGGGCUCAACCUCGGAACUGCUUUUGAUACUGGAGAUCUUGAGUUCGGAAGAGGUUGGUGGAAUAUCUAGUGUAGAGGUGAAAUUCGUAGAUAUUAGCUAGAACACCGGUGGCGAAGGCGGCCAACUGGUCCGAUACUGACGCUGAGGUGCGAAAGCGGGGGGAGCAAACA
rnacentral:rRNA from 1 species